rnacentral:rRNA from 1 species
AUCCCUCCCAAGAGUCCACAUCGACGGAGGGGUUUGGCACCUCGAUGUCGGCCCAUCGCAUCCUGGGGGUGGAGAAGCUCCCAAGGGUUUGGCUGUUCGCCAAUUAAAGCGGUACGCGAGCUGGGUUCAAACCGUAAAACAGCUUUUAGCUAUUAGCUUAUAGCUUUUAGGUAAAGGAAAUUUUACAGUUUGAAUCCGAGGUAAAGACAUCACAAGCGGCGGCUUUUAGUAGCAAUAUUAAAAGUGAAGCUAACUUAUAUCGGUAAAAUCCCGAAUUCUCGGGACAAUACCGAGGGAAUGGUUCGACUUUGCUCACCAUGAGCGAUAAGAAUCGACCCGUAGAGACUAAACGUUAGCCUUCCUGAAUUUUAGGGAAGAAUUUAUAGUCCAUACACGCAGUAAUGCGUGAACCAGUAUGCGUGAGACAGGUUGGUCUCCUAUCUGCUGUGGGCGUUUAUUGCUUGAGAGGAGUCUUUUUUAGUACGAGAGGACCGAAAAGAACGAACCUCUGGUGUACCAGUUGCAUCGCCAGAUGCACAGCUGGGUAGCUAAGUUCGGACUGGAUAAUCGCUGAAAGCAUAUAAGCGAGAAGCCAUCCUCAAGAUUAGGCAAUGCCAAUGCGUAGCAUUGGAAUAACCAAUGACCAAGUACCAAUGACCAAUAAAUUUCCAAUGACCGAAUGAACAAUUUUUAAAUUAAAAGUUUGAUUAUUGGAGUUUGGGAUUUGAGAUUUUUUUGGAAUUUGGAAUUUGGAAUUUGGAAAUUCCACUGCUAUGCAGUGGCCGAUUUCCUGGAAGAUUACCAGGUCGCCGCGAGGCGAACCUCGCCAAAGCCGCAAGGCGGAGGCGGGUUGAUAGGUCUCAGGUGUAAGUCCGGCAACGGAUUAAGCCGAGAGAUACUAAUAAAUUGAA